AUGAACGCUGGCGGCGUGCCUAAUACAUGCAAGUCGAGCGAACAGACGAGGAGCUUGCUCCUCUGACGUUAGCGGCGGACGGGUGAGUAACACGUGGAUAACCUACCUAUAAGACUGGGAUAACUUCGGGAAACCGGAGCUAAUACCGGAUAAUAUAUUGAACCGCAUGGUUCAAUAGAGAAAGACGGUUUUGCUGUCACUUAUAGAUGGAUCCGCGCCGCAUUAGCUAGUUGGUAAGGUAACGGCUUACCAAGGCAACGAUGCGUAGCCGACCUGAGAGGGUGAUCGGCCACACUGGAACUGAGACACGGUCCAGACUCCUACGGGAGGCAGCAGUAGGGAAUCUUCCGCAAUGGGCGAAAGCUUGACGGAGCAACGCCGCGUGAGUGAUGAAGGUCUUCGGAUCGUAAAACUCUGUUAUUAGGGAAGAACAAAUGUGUAAGUAACUAUGCACGUCUUGACGGUACCUAAUCAGAAAGCCACGGCUAACUACGUG
rnacentral:rRNA from 1 species